CGAUGGAGGGGGAUAACUACUGGAAACGGUAGCUAAUACCGCAUAACGUCGCAAGACCAAAGAGGGGGACCUUCGGGCCUCUUGCCAUCGGAUGUGCCCAGAUGGGAUUAGCUAGUAGAUGGGGUAAAGGCUCACCUAGGCGACGAUCCCUAGCUGGUCUGAGAGGAUGACCAGCCACACUGGAACUGAGACACGGUCCAG
rnacentral:rRNA from 1 species